rnacentral:rRNA from 1 species
UACGUAGGGACGAAGCGUUGUUCGGAUUUACUGGGCGUAAAGGGCGCGUAGGCGGCGCUGUAAGUCACUUGUGAAAUCUCCGGGCUUAACUCGGAACGGUCAAGUGAUACUGCAGUGCUAGAGUGCGGAAGGGGCAAUCGGAAUUCUUGGUGUAGCGGUGAAAUGCGUAGAUAUCAAGAGGAACACCUGAGGUGAAGACGGGUUGCUGGGCCGACACUGCCGCUGACAGCGCGCAAGCCAGGGGAGCAAACGGG